rnacentral:rRNA from 1 species
UUCCAGACUCCUACGGGAGGCAGCAGUAGGGAAUAUUGCACAAUGGGGGAAACCCUGAUGCAGCGACGCCGCGUGAGUGAAGAAGUAUUUCGGUAUGUAAAGCUCUAUCAGCAGGGAAGAAAAUGACGGUACCUGACUAAGAAGCCCCGGCUAACUACGUGCCAGCAGCCGCGGUAAUACGUAGGGGGCAAGCGUUAUCCGGAUUUACUGGGUGUAAAGGGAGCGUAGACGGCAUGGCAAGUCAGAUGUGAAAGCCCGGGGCUCAACCCCGGGACUGCAUUUGAAACUGUCAGGCUGGAGUGCGGGAGAGGUAAGUGGAAUUCCUAGUGUAGCGGUGAAAUGCGUAGAUAUUAGGAGGAACACCAGUGGCGAAGGCGGCUUACUGGACUGUAACUGACGUUGAGGCUCGAAAGCGUGGGGAGCAAACAGGAUUAGAUACCCUAGUACC